AAAGAUCGCAGCCUGCGGCAGCGCCUAAAGGUGCCCACGAUCUCCUGCAAGACCUGCCGCAGGCUGCGAUCUUU
rnacentral:misc_RNA from 1 species